GCCUUAUCACGUGGAAACAGCGGUUCUCGUGCGAUCAUCGAAUUUAAGCAACGUCGAGUCUGGUCACUACCUAGAUGGGUGACCGCUUGGGAAUACAAUGUGAUGUAAG